rnacentral:sRNA from 1 species
CGAGUUCGUUGGGGAACGAACCUCCUCCCUCGUUCCCUGCGAUUAGGCACCCGCGAACCUCCUCCCUCGCGAGGUGCCGUCAACUAGAAGGCCCGUCGACCUCCUCCCCGACGGGCCUUUUUCU